rnacentral:rRNA from 1 species
UACGUAGGGUGCGAGCGUUGUCCGGAAUUAUUGGGCGUAAAGGGCUCGUAGGCGGUCUGUCGCGUCGGGAGUGAAAACUCAGGGCUUAACCCUGAGCCUGCUUCCGAUACGGGCAGACUAGAGGUAUGCAGGGGAGAACGGAAUUCCUGGUGUAGCGGUGAAAUGCGCAGAUAUCAGGAGGAACACCGGUGGCGAAGGCGGUUCUCUGGGCAUUAACUGACGCUGAGGAGCGAAAGUGUGGGGAGAGAACAGG